UCCGAGUUGACCCCGGCAGUCUCCUAUGAGUCCCCGGCCGAACCGCUGGCAACAUAGAACGAGGGUUGCGCUCGUUGCGGGACUUAACCCAACAUCUCACGACACGAGUUGACGACAACCAUGCACCACCUGUGUACCAGCCUUGCGGGGCCCCCGUCUCCGAGGGUUUCCGGUACAUGUCAAGCCUUGGUAAGGUUCUUCGCGUUGCAUCGAAUUAAUCCGCAUGCUCCGCCGCUUGUGCGGGCCCCCGUCAAUUCCUUUGAGUUUUAGCCUUGCGGCCGUACUCCCCAGGCGGGGCGCUUAAUGCGUUAGCUGCGGCACGGACCCCGUGGAAUGGGACCCACACCUAGCGCCCAACGUUUACGGCGUGGACUAC
rnacentral:misc_RNA from 1 species